CAGAAGGUUCUAGCCUAUUGGCAAGCUGCAGUGAAGAUGUGCACGAAGCAGAUGACCCUGAGCCAGCAGAGGCCUCACAGCUUGAAGAUAAUCAAGAUGUGAAUAUGAAAUGUAGUUUUCUGGGACUUCCCUUAUCAUUAGGAUUUGCUUUUCAACUUGUACAGCUCUUUGGCGCUCCAGGUCUUCCACUAGGAGAAACAGAAAACAAAUGGAUUGCAGAACAGAAAUGCCUUGGCUGACAAUAUUAAUAGUCUUGAAGAUCUAAAUAAAAAUCGCCAAGAGAAUCAAGGCUCUUCUGAAACACUUCCAGAAAUGGAGCUGUUUCAAGGGGUGAUAGAGGAGAACAUCAUGACCUACACUAGCACUGGCUGGAUGGAUGCUGUGGUUCAUCAAUCAUGACAGACUAUCUUAAAUUCUGCAUGAAGGAAAAGGUAAUCAGUCACACUUCUCAAUGUGUUUCAUUCUUGUAUUAUAUUUGACCAAACAUCUGAAGAACAUUGUUAUAAUUUUUAAGGUGCAUUUAGUAUCACCCAACUUGGGUGUUUGGUUUUUUUUCCCUUCAAGUUAGGGUUGAGGGCUGUUUUGGUUUGGGGGUUUUUUUAAGCCUGAAUGGGGAAAAGAGAAGGCAGCAUUUUGUUACUAAAGCCAUAUGAAUUUUUCUCCAAAAUCUAAAACCUGCCUGGUGAAGUGAAUGCAGUGAUCUAUGAUGCCUAAGAACUGGACUUUAUUCCCAGUUUGAUUACUGUGGCAAUCGGUUGUGAGUCAUAUCAUCUCAGCCCUAUUUUCCUCAUCUCUUCAACAUGGAGAGCAAUGCUGACGCCAUUAAGGGUCUAAUUAU
rnacentral:lncRNA from 1 species